CCUCCCUCUCCUGCUGGUACAAGGAUAUGAUUGUUGUUUUGUUUGCUAGACAUGAUUUUAGGAUUUUGUCAAGGAAGCCAUCUAUGACCCCAAUCAAUCAAAACCAUAAGGAUCAAGGCUGGAAGAACCUAUUCCUUAGAGCAAAGGAUGCAAUGUCAAGCAAGUUGUGAUACCUCAACUAUCUACAAUUUAACACCAAGGAAAGAACACUGUUUGGAGAAAUGAGAAAGAUUAUCAUCAGUGUCUUUCAGAAGUCAUCAAAAGAAGAAAAGGAGAAAAGAGAGGAGAAAGCAGAAAGAUCUGGAGUCUGGGAAGUUCAAGAGCAUGGCACCAACAUCUGGCAAGGGCUUUCAUUCUGCAUCAUCUCAUGGAGGAAAAUAAAAAGAUUUCAGGUAAAUCCAGAUUUGGAGCUUAAAUGACUCAAAUGCUUUGCCUACAUUGAUCCUACAUUCAGGCUGCUUACAUAUCUCUUGGCUUCUCUGAGAACCAGAUUGUCACCACUUAAAGUGUCUUCCAGAGUCCUCACGAGUAUCAGAGAAGGCAUAAUCUGUACACGUGGCUUCAUUUAAAAUGAAAAUAUCAAGCAGUGUCAUUUUCACAAGUAUCCCCACACUGUCUGAGGCUGAAAAGAAGAGUGUAGCUAUGCACACUGCAGUGAGAAGAAAAUUUCAGCUCAAUUGGAGGAUGUAAAGGUACAAGUAAGGUUUCAGCAGAAGCGCUCAUGAACCCCACAUGAAGUCUUUCUUCUUUCUUAGCUCAUACCCCCUUUAAUGCAUGGAUGCUGGCUUAACUUUAUCAGGAGUCAGAAUAGGCUUCUGUGUGUAUUCUUGACUAGAAGUAAAACAAAUAUUUUCUUUCUAAA
rnacentral:lncRNA from 1 species